AAGUCGUAACAAGGUUUCCGUAGGUGAACCUGCGGAAGGAUCAUUCAUAAAAUGGAGGUGAAAAUUUUAUUUGAUUUUCAGCGGAAUUUUUCUGCUAGAAUUUCAUUUUUCAUCCUCUUGUUGAUUGUUUUUUCAACUAAAAAGGUCGCAAAAUUGAAGGGAAAAAGAGAAAUUUUUUUGGCUGGGUUUGAAACUUUGAAUUUUCGCAAGGAUUUUCUUUUUUUCAGUAAAACCGUUUUGAUUUUCCUGCCGAAAUUUUUUCAAUUUUUGAUUUAAGGCCCUAGGGAGUUUGACCUAUUUGAUCAAUCAAAAAGUUUUAAACAACUUUUAGCAAUGGAUCUCUAGGCUCAU
rnacentral:misc_RNA from 1 species